CGACUUGGACUUCGCCGGGGAAAGAGGGGCGGCGGUUGCUAUCACACAAACAGCACCCGGGCAAAGACGCUGCGCCGCGCCGCCGCUUCUCUGUCACCUCGCUUUUAUUCGCCUACAGACGCGGUGCAGCAUAUCUUCACCACCCGGUCCUUUCCUUUCGGUUGUGCAGCUCUUUCUCGACCACCGCACUCCGACAGUCCCGCCAUCGAUAUCUUUCUGCCUCCCCCACCCCUCUUCUCCUCCCUCGUCUGCCAUUCACACGGGCAGCGCUCUCGCAGGCGGCGAAGCGGUCGAGAAAAAGCAGGCCUUUGCGCAGAGGGACCACGGCGAGGAAACAUAGGCUCUCAUGCCAGUCUUUUCUGCACGAACGCAGCGCGCUGCGUCGCGAGGCGCUCACAGCAUCGGAGCGACGAAAAAGUCUCUCAAAUCCUUCUUCCCCGCCUCAUCGAACAGGCCUGCUGCUGCACCACCGCCGAAGACGCGGAUGGAGGUGACGCCGCCGACGGCGGAGUUCAUUAACUACGAUGUAGAUACCACCUAUGUAAUGCCGCUCGAGGUGCGCAACCGCACAGACGAGAUACUGACACUGCGCUUUGUGAAGCCGGCGCGGCACCCCGGCACCUUCCGACUCGUCAACGGUGCCUCGGUGCGUGUGGCACCUGGACUGGCACACACCGUGGAGAUUGAGUUCACCACCCACGCUCCGCAGGACUACGCGGAUGCGCUGGUGAUCCUCAGCAGCGACGGCGGCCGCGUCGAGGUGCCGCUGACGGCGUGCCGCGUGCCGCUGAUAGAGUUCCCUCCGACAGUGAACUUCGGCAAGGUGGAGCAGCAGCUGGCGUGCCCUAUGCGCACGCUGACGCUGGUGAAUCGUGGCCGAAAAGACGCUGCCGUCACGUUUGUGCUGGACGAGGGAGACGAGAGGGGAGGCGGUACGGCGUGCGGGGUAGUGCUGAGCAGCACCGCUGUUACGGCGCCGGCAGAGGGCCGCACGACUGUCACGCUGGAGCUGAAGCCGCUGCCGCCUGGUCGGCACACAUGGCAUAUUCCAGUGGAAAUGAACGGGCAGCGCCUGCCGACUCUCCUGGAGGUGAGCGCGGAGGUAGUGGACUGUCGGAGCCGUCUUUUCGAUCCGCAGACACACGAGGAUGUGGUCUCGGUGGAGUUUCCGGAGACGUUUGACGGCAACAAGGCAAGCCAUCAGUUGGAGGUGGUGAACGGCGGGUCGCAGGCGAUCAGCUUUGCCAUACGCUCCGCGCACGACAUCUCCGAAGGCGGAGCAGCGCCUUUCCGCUUUGUGCCCACCCAAGGGCGGCUACCGCCGCAGGGACGCCUUAUCGUCAAGGCGCUGUUUACACCACAGCUGAAGUUGCGUCGCACCGGCUGGAACACCACCCCGAGAAGUGCGCCUGCUGAGACCGCUGAGGUUCACAAGUACGAGGCUCUCUUCACCUUGCUAUUUGUGGAGACGGAGCAGACGCAGAGCUUCCGGAUGGUGGGCACGUCGUGCGAGACCCUCGUCCGUCUCUCUACCUCCGUCGUUGACUUCGGUGCCUGUGUCCUGAGGAGGUCGAAAGAGUCGAAUCUGACGCUCACGAAUGGUGUGGCCCACCUUCCCAUGCGCUACGCACUGCAAUGCCCGCCGCACUUCUCCGUCACACCGGCGCGCGGCGUAGUGGCCGCUGGCGGAAGUGCCACGUUGCGCUUGGAGUUCCGCCCGCGCCGCCUCGAACCUUACGUGGAGACGCUCACGCUGACCGCCAACGAUACGGUGACGUGCGCAGUGGAACUGCGGGGCACGCCGCUGUACCGCGAAGGCGCCGAGGCGCCGGUGGCUGCUCCCCCUUCAGCACCGGAAGACGAGGUCGCGGUACCAGCGGCGGUGGAUCUCGGUAUGAUCCCGGCAGAGGGGCUGGCACCACCCUCACUCCCCAGGCAGGUGCCCGCGGCGGUGCUGAUGGCGGAAGAUACAGCGGUGCAGAGCUACCGCAGUGGCCACGUUGCACCACCUGUGUUCGAUGUGCAUUCUUUGGCAAAGCGGCGCUUCUAUGCCGCCCCGACAACACCGCAGGAGCGUCGUGACUGCAAGCGCGAGUUGACACCGAUGGAGGUGCUCAACGUUGUGCUGCCGUCUAAGUUGCUGAACUUCGGACGCGUCACUAUCCAUGCUGAUGCAGCGUUGUCACUCUUCGUGUACAACGGUACCAAGGCAAGCAUCCAGGUGGGCGUGCCCACCGAGGCGGAAGGGCCUGUGACAGUGGAGCCUGCCAGCCAGGUUGUGCCGGCCCAGCGCAUGGCGCAAUUCGACGUGCAUAUCUGCUCUGGCACGGUUCAGGUCUUCCAGCAGGUAAUGCGCGUCACUGUGAACCAGCAGCAUUACAUGCGCUUCACGGUGCAGGCGGAUGUGGUGCCAGUAGAGGUGACCCUCUCGCAGACGCAGGUGCUGCUGUCGCUGACGGGGCAGGCCGAGGAGCCUGUGUGCACGGCGCAGGUGGCACUCACGAACAAGGGCAACUGCGCCGUGGCGUAUCGCUGGCAUCUCCCGGCGCCGUCAUGCGAGUUCGAGGUGGAGCCGCAGGUUGGACUACUAAACGCCAGCGAGCAACGCGGCGCUACGUUCUAUUUCCGCCCUGCCGCCGGCACAUCGCAGGCCUCUUGCGAGGCUCGUCUGGAGGUGGUGGGGGCGACGGAGGACAAGGUGCUGCUGCUGACUGGCAGCGUGGCGCCGGCGAGGUGUGCGUGGGGCGCAUCUUCGCUUCUCAAGACGCCUCCGCUAGCCCCGGCCUCAAAGGAGGCGGCUGCUGUGUCCAGCACACUGGCCUUGGGGCGCAUCGCAGCCGGCGUCCCCGCCUUAGCGACGCUCCCUCUUACCAACAAAGGCAGGACGAACGCGUACUUCUCCAUUGGCGCGUUGCCCGCAUGGCUGACGGUGUCGCCGUCACAGGGGCGCGUCUGCGUUGGUGAGACGGAGGAGCUCACGGUGCGUGUGCGGCAUGCGGUGGCAGGUGCAGCGGCGCAUAUGGUAGAGUGCCAUGUUUCUGGCAUGCGGCGUCCACUGGUGGCACGUGUGGAGGCGACCGUUGUGGCGCCACCGCUGUCUGUGGAGCUGGAUGGCAAGGAGCAGGCUGAGGCGCACCUAGACUUCGGGCACGUCUACGUCGGCUGCCCGCAGUCGCGCUCGGUGACGCUGCGCAAUGGCGGCGACGUGGCUGCCGCUGUGCGUGUCAACUUAGAGUCGUGCACCUACUACUCGCUGGACUCGCCUGUGCUGGAGGACGAAGGGCAGCAAGACGUAGUGGACAGCGUAAUGUCACUUGCGACGCUGGAUGACACAAAGCGCUCGCGUCUUAUGUCGCGCGUGCGGUCUCUGCACUCUUUUACUGUGGCCGACCGCAAAAUGUCGAUCGGCGUCGCCACCGCAACUGUCGUGGUGCCGUCGUUGUCGGAGUACACACUUCGUCUUUCAUUCGACCCUCUGCGUGCUGCUGCGGCGCAGCGCUGCCCUGUUCGCUGGCAUCAACUUGGCGCAGAUGAUGUGCAUCCGCUGCCGCCGUUUACUGUGGAGGCCACCGCGUUGGUGCCGCCGGUUGUGCUGAGCGCGAGGACGGUGUCAUUUCCCGGCGUGGUGGUUGGCCAGCGCCCGCCGCCGCGAGUGGUCUUCGUCCGACACGGGGAUCUGAGGAUGCCGCCGCCGUUGGCGAGACCGAGACCGGUCGCGUGGCGGCUGGAGACGGAGGAAGGAACGCCAAGCUUCCUGUUGGAGCCCCAUCGCGGCGUCCUGGGCGUGGGGGAGGAGCAGGCUGUCACCAUCACGUAUCUGCCCACGAGCGCUGGGCGGCUGCAGGUGUGCGCGCUACUAAAGACGGAGGAGGCGGAGAGCCCUACAGGGGCGCCGUGCGCGUGUUGCACUAUCAGCGCCUCAGCCACCAACCCACGCGUGCGCAGCGACCGCACCUCUCUGGUGUUCCCAGUUUUGCCGCUCGGUGUCGCGGUGGAGACGACGGUGCUGCUCCACAACGAGGGCUACGACGCCGUGCGCGUUGAGUAUCCCGGUUCCUGCGACCCGCCGCUGCGGGUGUCGUUCCCCGACGGCGACUCCAUGGGUGCCGCGCUGCGGUCCACCCUCCCUGUCACUUUUACCUUCUGCAGUCCCACGCCGAUUUCGGUGCGCUCUGCCAUCCGCCUGCACACGGACGCCGGGGGCUACAUCGACAUCUCCAUCAGCGGCGGCGCCGUGAACUCAGUCAUCACCACUGAGGCUUUUCUGUCAUACAUGUUUCGCACUACACCCACCACCACCACGGCAGCUGCCGCCGGCGAGGGCAACGACAGCUCGCACGUGCUACAGCGUUGGGCCAGAGACCACGAAUCCGUCGUGGGUGCGGAGCUACCGCUAGUGUGCACCUUCCCGGCUGCCUUGGAUGGCGCGCGUGAUGGCCAGCACGACCUGGUAAACAUGAUCGAGGAGAGCGUUCAAUGGGAGGCGGAGCGAGCGUGGCUGACGGCGUGGUGGAACGCUUUUGUGUGCCGCACUCCUGUGCAGGAUGUGGUGGAGGCGCUUCAGGCGACUCGCGGCGGGAUUGUUGGCGACAUGAUACAUCAGUUCACCGGCAAGCGGCCUCGACGUAACGAGGCUCUGGAGUCUUCCUUGACCACCUCUAAGCGUGCAAACGAAGAGAACGGCGCUGGAUCCGCCGUGACGGCGACGGCCCAUGACCGCAAGGGGACGUCCCGCCGCGGGACGCGGCGGCAGCCGCCGUCGGAGGCGGCCGGCACUCCCACACCUCCCGCUUCUUCGAACACAACGCCAAAGGAGCUGCGCACCCUUCACACACUCAUCCAGUACGUGUGCUCCUGCGGUGGGUGCCUGACCAAUGUGGAGCUGCCGUUCCUGCUUCCCUUCGACGCGUUUGUCGAGCAUGCGGCCGCGCACACCCCAUCCGCGCUGGAGCAACUCUCUGACAUCGUUGAAAGUGAGGAUCUGGAGUCGGCGUUCCAGCGGCGCGCGACUGCGUCGUGGGUGGCCGUGCUGCGCGAGUGUCUAAGGCUCUUCUACGUGCCGCAGGUGCGUGUAACAGCGGCUACUCCGGUGCCGCCGGCUCUGCGCGGGUGGCCGUCCUCGUCGUUGUCGCAACGUUCGCUGAGCCGAAGUAGCAUCUACAGCGAGGAGGAGUCGCUGCUCCUGCGUUGGGUGGCCGCCUGUGUCGAGGUCUUCGCGACCGGCGACAACAAGGACCUUCACGAGAGUCUAUCCGCUAUCUCGCCGCGGAGUUUCGAAGAUCUACGCGAUGCGCAGGCGCUCAUCGUUGUUGUGCUGACGUACGUGCCAUUCUUGGCGUACCAGGUGCGCGAGGCUAUCGCCUCGGCCACACAACAGAGCCGCGAGGGUAAUGCCACGGUUCUCUUGAACCUUCUGCAAACCUUGGGGGUUGCAGGACUUCCUCUUGCGGAUGCCUUCGUAUCUGCGUCGGCAACGCAGAUGGUGCUCCUCCUUACCCACCUCUUCGUGUAUCUGCCAAAGUUCAUCAACGCCGUUCCCGUGCACUUUCACGGCAGAGCCCUCACCACGCUGACAGAGACAGUCACCGUCGAAAACACGUCCCCUGAGCCGCGCGAAUACUGCGUUCUCCUACCAGAUGCCCCGCUCUUCCGUGCGAACACCGACAAGCUGACUGUGGCGCCGCGAAGCUCGACACAGGUGACGCUGUCGAUCCUUCCGCGCACGCGGCGACCAGUGAGUGGACAUUGUGUGCUGGUCGACUGCUCCUCGCAGGUGCCGCCGGCGGAGCGGGUACCGUUCGUGUUUCAGCUCAAGGCCACGCCAACGAUGGAGCCGCUGCAGACGCUGUACGUGGAGACACCGCAGUACGAGUGCCUUCAGUCAGAGCUGCAUAUCAUCAACCCCUUCUCCGAGGAUUGCGUGGUGAGUCUUCGAGUGGCGCAGAUGCGUCUUCCGGAUGCGGCGAAGACGACGGACGCCGCAUCGACACCCGAAGCUGCCGAGCCGUGGCUGAGUGGUGACGACGCGUCCUUCUGGCGUCACAAGCACGAUGCUCCCUUCACAGUUUCCACAGAGGUCCUCUCGCUGCGCCGCGGCGAGCCGACACGGCUGCCCUUCUCGUUCGCGCCCCUCUCACGCGGUGUGUACCGUCUGGUGCUGACCUUCUGGGAAGAGCGGGAGGGCGAGUUCACGUGGGCUGUGGAGGCGACGAGCGGAUGGCCCAAGCCGGUCGACACCAACCUGGAACUGCGUGUGGAACUUGGGGAGAGCUGCACGUCUACACUCAACGUCAAGAGCAGCAACGCAUCGCUCGAGCGCUGUGUAAAGUUCUACGAGGAUCGCGCGCACAGCACCCAGUACACCGACGUCAGUCGUCUACUUAGCGGGGCUCGCUACGCUGUGCACUUUGUGAAUGAGCGCAUGGAGGGCCCCAACCCCUUUUUCCUGCCCAGUCAGAGCACGUGUCUCGCAUCCACCGCUCCAGCAACGACGUGGCCGAUAACCUUCACGUUCAAGCCGCAGUGCGUCGGGGUGUACCGCACCUAUGCAUUGCUGAUAUCGGAGGCCGAUGUGCGACUCCUGCUGAUCGUCGGUGAGUGCGUGCCGAAAGGAGACCGCAGAGAGCUGCAGUUUUUGUGUCCGGCGCGCCAGACCAUCGUGCAGCAAAUCACGCUGUGCAACUACAGCACCACAGAGGACUGGCUGUUCACCGCCACGUUCGAGGGCUCCGCACAGUUCAGCGGGCCGCACGACGUGCGCGUGCCGAGUGGACGGUCAAAGGAGUACGCGAUCAAGUAUGCCCCGUCGUGGAUCAGCGGAGAGGAGACGGCGACGCUCGUGCUGCUGAACGGCUCCACUGGGCAGAAGCACACCUAUGCCCUCGUGGGCACCGCAGAGGCGCCCCUGUCCGAGGGCAUCCUGACGCUGGACUGCCGAGCGCGCGAUCACGAGACACUGGAGAUGAUGGUGCCGAACAUUUGCAGUCAGGACACGACGUACUUUGUGAAGACGGACUUGGCGUGCUGCGAGGGCGAGUCGCCGUCGCUUGUCAUCCCACGAGCGUCGAGCCGCCGCUUUGCCAUGAAGGUGUCCCCCACCGUCGGCGGCGACUACUCCGGCCGCGUCACCUUCACGGGCUCGAAUGGGCGAUAUGUAUGGUACGCGGUGCAGCUGCACGUGGCCCCGCCGGAGAAGGAGGGCCUCGUCGAGCUCCGCACAAACGUUCGGACGGCGAUGGUGGCGGAUGUCUCAGUGACGAACCCACUCGAUUCUGCACUGAUGUUCAAGGUCCACCGAUACGGCGCAGGGCUGUACGGCGCGAACACCUUCCAGCUGGCACCCAAAGCUGCUGCCACCUACAGCCUUCUCUUUGUGCCGACCCAAGCCGGCGAGUCGACGGGGCGACUUUCCCUGGUGAGCGAGGCUGCCGGUGAGUUUUGGUAUGAGCUGCACAUGACAGUGACGGAGGCGGAGCCGGAGCCCCUGCCCUUCCCGCCAACCCCCAUUGGCCAGUCGCAGGUGAUGCAGGUGCGCCUGCCCAACCGAGGUGACGCGAGCUCGGUCCUGACGGUGGAGUCGACGGACGCGGCGUGCUUUGGGGUGCGCCAGCCGCGGGUCGUGCUGCCGGCACACUCGGAAAGUGUUGUCGAGCUCGUCUUUACGCCACGCUGCGUUGGUGUCGAGCAGACGGCCGUGGUGACACUGCGCAACCCCGAACUGGGAUGCUGGCGCUACAGAUGUGUCGGUACGGGCACGGCUCCCUUGACAGAAGAGACGCUGACGUGCACUUGCGACGUCGGGACGACGAGCACACUGUUGCUGCCCUUCACGAAUGUCCUGAAGCGAGACACCGCGAUAGAGGUGCGGCUGAGCGGAGACACGACGGCCUUCGCCCUGCACACGGUGCCGACCGGGGUGGUGGCGACCGGUGCCUCCGUGUCCCUUGUCGUGACGUUCAGACCCUCUCUGGUGAAGCGCCAUGCCGCUGUUGUUGAGGUUCGUCCGGCGGUGCGGCGCAGCGACAAGACCUAUGACGUCACGUGGACCUACCCAAUCGAGGGUUGCUGCGUGUACCGACAGACGCAACCAUCUCUGCGUUUGCGCUGCGCUUCUCGCGCGCAGUAUAACGACACCAUGUACGUGCACGCACCUGGGCUGCCGCCGGGUCUCGCCUCCGCCUUCUCCGUGGUCUUCGAGGUGGACCCUCAGAAGUCCUACGCGGCUGCCGCGGCGGCGAGUGUGUCAUGUAGCGUGACCAUGCCGAGCCCGUACCCCGACGGGUUCGAGCUGAACCUCAAGUUUGCCCCGCUGCGGCCGCUCGUCGGGUCAGGGUGGGUGGUGCUGCGCAGUGCGGAGGGCGGCAUGUGGCAGUACCGAGUGCAGCUGGAGUCCACCCCGGCGCCCGUCGACGACACUAUCGUGCUGUACGGCGAGUACAAGGAGAGCACCUCAGUCUCUUUUGACCUGUACAACGUGUUUCCCUACCGCUCCACCUUCUUCGCGUACUUCACGGCUGACAGCUCCAAGGACUUUACUGUGUCACCCGCACACGGGGUGCUGCUUCCGUUUGUGCCUGGACAGCGAGGGGCCGCCACGGCCACCAACGUGCAGAUCUCUGUGCACCCCUCUUCCCGCAUCCCUCAAAUCGAGGGCACACUCGUGGUGGACACGGACGAUAUGCAGUGGACCUUCCGCGUGCUGGGCAAGUUCGGCCACCAAUCCCGGCCACCCAACUAAGGAUUUAGUCAUAUGCUGGCUGUGACUGGAGGAGAGGUCUUGUGGCGCGCCUUUGCUUCUGUGACAUGUAUCUGUGUUUUGUCUACCGCGUUUGUGCAUGUGCUCACACGCAUGAUGUAUAGUUUGCAUCUCACUGUUGCUCCUUCUGUUUGUAUGUUUAGGGCACCUCCCCGCCACCCCUCACACCCCUGGAAGUGCUCGCAUGCCGAUGUUUUUGCUCGCUCCCACUCUGCCUUUCUGCGCGUAUACAGGAGACCCCCUAGAUUAACCUAUUGCCUUCGCACUCCACCCCCUCCCGUUCUUGGUGGCUGGCGUGCUCCCGCAUCGUGCGUGCGCAUCGGUGGCUGUGCUGCAAGAAAAGCGCCGCGUUGCCAAGCAGCUCUUUCUACAGCGCCUGC
rnacentral:misc_RNA from 1 species